UAGGGAAUUUUCCGCAAUGGGCGAAAGCCUGACGGAGCAAUGCCGCGUGAGUGAUGAAGGCUUUCGGAUCGUAAAACUCUUUUAUUAGGGAAGAACAAAUGUGUAAGUAAAUAUGCACGUCUUGACGGUACCUAAUCAGAAAGCCACGGCUAACUACGUGCCAGCAGCCGCGGUAAUACGUAGGUGGCAAGCGUUAUCCGGAAUUAUUGGGCGUAAAGCGCGCGUAGGCGGUUUUUUAAGUCUGAUGUGAAAGCCCACGGCUCAACCGUGGAGGGUCAUUGGAAACUGAAAAACUUGAGUGCAGAAGAGGAAAGUGGAAUUCCAUGUGUAGCGGUGAAAUGCGCAGAGAUAUGGGGGAACACCAGUGGCGAAGGCGACUUUCUGGUCUGUAACUGACACUGAUGUGCGAAAGCGUGGGGAUCAAACAGG
rnacentral:rRNA from 1 species